GCAGGUUGCGAGGCGGCGGGAGCAACGUGGGUUGCUGCUCCUUGGCUUCCUUGAAACUGGAGCGGAGUGGGAAGGAGGACGCAGGCCGGGAAAAGUUGGCAGAAGCAGCAGCAGCGACAUCGAUGCGUCCCGUCCCGUUUGAGGGCAGCAGGAGGAGAAAGGACCUCCUGUAAGACCCGAACAUCAGCUACCAGCAAGUUGGCACGUCCGUGAUGACUGCAGAAAAGCAGAGUUGACAUCUGCGUGUGCGCUUCCCCCUUGAGGAUGUGUGGAAGACAUGGGCUUAAGUUUUAAGUCGGCUUUUGUUUUGUUUUUCACUGGGAGAAAGGGAAGGGGCUGUUAUUAGCCAAGGCCUGCUUGGAGCAUUGCUUCUGAAUUUCUUCCGCAAGACCAGUCGGGUGACAUUGAUAAGUGAAAAGGCCCCAAGAUCUCUCUGGGAAGAUUGUAAAUGUAUGCCAACCGAGCCAAGGAAUUGCACAUCUUUUCCAGCUCCCCUGCUUUGCUUUCCAAAAAUCCAAAACAGUGGAGCUUGUACUAAAUAAUAAUAAAACAUUCAGCCUCCUAUAUUAGAAUAGGGUUGCAAAUGAGUGGCUGAGACUUUGUAUGUUGACAGACGAAAAAUAGAGGAACUGCCAACAUUUUGAGUAUCAGUUUCAGCCAUUCUUUAUUUUAUUUUAUUUUUUAAAAAGCAAACAAAGCCAAAGCUUCCAGUACUUCUUUUUCCCACAGUUGCAAAUCACAUGACAGUGUACUCUCCCUAAAAGCAAGGGAUAUAAAAAUGCCCUCUGAUCUUAGAUUUUACCUCUAUCAUUUAAAGCAUGCUUGAGCCUCUCUCCUGCUGAUGUUGCACAUAUUCAAAAGAUAUGAAUGCAGAUUGCAAAAUGCUAUCUUGAAACCAAUUGAUAGCCACGGAAUGUAGACUUCCACUGCUUUUCAGUCUUCCUAAAUUUUUUGUGUUACAGGAAGAAAUGCUUAACUCUUGCUUGCAUUCAUUAGCAUCAGUGGGAGAUGAUUGUGAAGUGGUAAUUCAUGUUCUGAAAUGCAUGUGUCACUUUGGCCUUAGAGAUACACAGAAAGCGAUUAGAUUGUGGAAAACAAUUAGAUUAGGAUAAAAUAAUUUUUCUUGUUCUUAAUUGUAUACAUAGUUGUUAUUUCCAUUAUUUUAUUUAUUAUAUCCUGUUCUAAUCUUGUUUAGAUGCAAAGUUAAAACAUUUCCAAACUCUCUAGGUUUUGUGCACUUUCAUUUGUUAUGUUGAGAACCUCUCAUUACGUCAUAAUGUUAUAUACUCCUUAUUCUAUUCAUUCCAUCCUCCUAACGGUCCUAGUAAAUGGUCAGGGUGUUUUUGCUUUCCAGGUGAAAAACUGAAUUUAAGAACCUGAUUUUGCCCAUCUCCACCAAGCCACCAAAAGACUAAACAGGAAUUUAAAUGUGAAUUCUUCAAGGUAGCCAUACAACCCAGUCAAGUUCAUUGGAUCAGUCAUAGAAUAAUAGAAUCGUAGAGUUGGAAGAGACCUCACGUGCCAUCCAGUCCAACCCCCUGCAAGAAGCAGGAAAAUCUCAUUCAAAGUACCCCCGACAGGUGGUCAAAUGAUUGUAUUUCCACAGUCACACUGACUCUUCAGAAAUGUUCAGGAAGGCAUGGUUGAAGGUGUAGGUAUUGACAACAAUGUUGCAUGUAAACAUUAAGAGCAGAUGUAGUGUGUGUAUAGUUAUGAUACACACACACACACACACACACACACACACACACAUAUAUAUAUAUAUAUAUAUAUAUGACGGUCAGGAGUGCUUUACUACUAGUUUAGGCUGCCAACUGUGACUCUUCUUAGAAUUUGAGGACCUAAAGAUGAUGGUAACCUCAAGGUUGGACUUCUGUAAUGCACUGUACAUUGGGUUACCUCUGUCCCAAGUUUGGAAACUCCAACUAGUUUAGAAUACGGCAGCCAGGUUGGUUACUAGAACAUCUAGAAGUGAGCAUAUUACACCCAUAUUAAAGUCACUUCACUGACUGCCAAUUAGUUUCCAGGCAAAGUACAAAGUGUUGGUUUUGACCUUUAAAGCCUUACAUGAUUUGAGUCCAGGUUACCUACAGGAUCUCCUACAUAAUACAUCCUGUAGGACACUUAGGUCCUUCAGUGGGUGGCUACUCCAGCCACAACCUAACUGGUGACUGUCAACCAGAGGCCACCCCAAGACUGAAACAAUCUGCCAGAAAAGAUCCAACAGCUAAACGAGGUUUCAGAAUUUAAAACGCAAUUGAAGAUCCAUCUUUCCAGCAGGCCUACCCAGUCAACUCUUAAUUAUAAGUUUUGACUUGCAUUCGAUUGACAGUAUAUGUCAAUUCUGUAGCUGUGUUUGGUAUAAAAUUUCAUAUAUAUGUGUGUGUGUGUUUAAAUAUUAAAAUUUGUAAUGUAUUGUAUUUUUAUGUUCAUGUUUUUGAAUUCGUUGUACCCUGCCUCGAGCCAUCAGGAGAGGCAGGUAAUAAAUAAAAUGUAUUAUUAUUAUACACACGCAUAUACAUAUAUUACCCUGUGUUGAUGCAACCAGAAGAAAAUUCUGUUUAAAAUAGGACAUUGAAAUCUAUACCUGCCUGUGGUCAUAUGAUGCUAAAGAUAUAUAGCGCAUGUAGAAUGCAUAUUGCCUAUAUAUACCUUACUUACAUUUAUCUGGUGGGAUUUUAAAAUCACAACAAGACCUUGGUUGGCAAAGCAGUUUUACUUUAACCUUUAACUUUUACUUUAAAGCAGUGUUGACAAGUCUUCCUGGAUUAUUCUGUGUGAGCCAGAGCACGCUUCAGCCCCAAGCAACCUUCCAAUGCAGCUUUAAGCUUCUGCAGCUCACUGCAGUCCAGCCGGGUCUUUUUCCAUCAGAGAAGUGGCCCACAUCUUGCUGCUCUUAAUGGCUGACUCAGCUAUGGAUGCCAUCACUUGACUACUACAAGAUCCCUUACAUGUGUGAAUGAGGUAACAUGCAGAAUACUUUUUGUAUCUUGUAGUUUUCAAAUAAAUCAACACACAAAUUUAGCAGUUAGUGAUCAAGUGAUAUAUCUGCUAAUAUUAACUACUUUACGAUAGUGAUGAAAUUUGAAUGAAUGUAUAUGGCAUCCCUGAACAUAUAAGAAAACAAACGUUAUAUUUUAAAGUACCUUUUUUAAACACUCAAAAUGUAGUAUAAUAUAAAACACAUAUGAGAUAAUGUAAAGAAACAUAUUACACAAAAGUACCUAAACUACUGAAACACACCAAACAAACUAAACUGAUUAACAAAAAAGAAUCUAAAAUCUACAAAUUAUAACCAUAAAAAUAAAGACAAGAGCAUAAAAGUGGAAAAGUAGGGCAUGGCUUCCAACCACCCAGUUUCUGAUAAUGUCUCUUUCUUGUCCAACUUCCUCUUGUUAAACAUUGCUAUCAUUCUACGUAUCUCUCAUACCAAGAUGACCUAAACUUCCACUUACAUUUAAUAUCUGUUAGUCAUAAAAACAAGUUUGCGGUGACCUACCUCAAUGGCCUCUUAAACAUGACAAAAGAUAGUAAAACAUGUAUGUGUAAUUCUUCAUUUGUGGGAAAUAUUUCCCAUCAGCGUAUUUCCAGGAAUGUUUGUGCUUAUGUGUAAAGUGGAAUAAUCUGGUAUAUCUUUGCAGCAAAGCAAAAUGAGGGAAGUUGUAAAUCACAGCAGUACUUAAAGAUUGUGUAUUUAAAAAACACUGGAAGCUAGGGAAAUGGGUGGACUGGAUUUCAAACAAAAACGUUCAUAGUACAAAGAUGUAGGAUGAUAGAAUAGAAAGAAGUAGCUGCUUUGAGUUUUGUGGAAAGAAAUACAAUUAAUGAUUCAGUGUUUGAAAUCAAAAUAUUAUUUUCUUAGAAAGUAUGUGUAUGAAAAUUAUGUAUGUGUAAGAGUAAGAUGAAAAUCUAUUUGCGAUUUUGUUACUUCCCUGAAUCAAUAAAUAUUUUGCAAUACAAA